GAGAGAUUGUUCUCUACCGGGACUGGCAUUACACACCAGCAGAGAUCGGGGAAGACGUUCCACAGCUGCUUGUGAGCUAGACUUGCCGGGUUAUAAACUUGUUAGAAUGGGGUUUGUUAUGGAUCCAACAAAGAUGAACAAAAUGAAGAAAGGAGAUUGAGACGCCCCUCUACAAAAUUUUGACCUAUCUUUUCGCCUAACAUGAUCACGAACGAAGACAGAGAAUUGCGUAGAUAGGAGGAGGAAACGAACCAACCCGGGGCCCCCAACCAAAGGUCUGCAUCAUAGCCAGUAUUUUUAGGCUAAACCAAAUUCCAUCAUGCAAAGCUGCAAUAAGCUGCCGGAUUUCGUCCCGUCCGUAGCGCUUCGGAAGUCACUGUGGCGUGGCUGAAUGUAGAGCAGUCCGUGACGGAACUUUGAUCAGUAUAUUAUUUAGAACCGACAAAGAGAGGAUCAGACGAGCGAGAAAGUUGACGUAUCGCCUUACAAAACAAGAAAAAAAAAGUCUCUCUACAGCUGAAGAAUGAGCGUGUUCUUGGGCCAUCGUAGAAACAUAGAUAGGGUCGACGACGGAACGAACAACGAAACUUUACGACAGCUUUUUCGUACACGUUCAUCGAUUCUUUCACAAAGUGGGAUAAAAACCUCGAGGGCAAGGGAGAUCAAUGUUGCCGUAGCUACUAGUGAACGAUUCUAGGUUCACUUCCAGUUCCGCCGUUGAUGUCCACUUUUUCUUCCACCAUAGCGGAGGUCUUAAAAGGAAGCUGGCCUGUACUUAACUAGCGGAAUGUACUUAAGUCUGUUUAACCCCCAUUAUGUAAGGCUUCUUUCCGACUACCGGGACUUAAUCUCUAUCUUUCUAGUCUACUUUCUUU
rnacentral:lncRNA from 1 species